CUUUGCUUACUAAGUGUGUGACCUUGGGCAUUUACUUAUGUUCUGUGACGCAGUGUUCUUAUCUCUAAAAUGGGGAUAGUAUGUCUCCUUCAUAGAAGUGUUGCAGGGAUUUGUUAGUGUAUUUAAAGCACUUGGAAGAGUGCUUGUCACAUAGCAAGUAUUAUAUAAAUGUCCACUGUGUAGUUACUGUUGUUGCUGUCUACAGAAGCCAGAUGUGGACCACAGAGCCAGAAGCCUCAGGCAAGUCUCCGGAGCUGAAACUAGAAAGAAUUAUUUAUAACAGUUCCCAUCCUGCCUAGGGCUACAGUGUCACAUCAUUCCUGGGCCACACUCAAUUGCACGUGUGUCUUCUCUGUGAGCCGGGGCUUACACCUGAAGGCUUGCAGUCCACACACAACCCUCAUGCUUUGGCUGUGUUCCCAGCGGACAAGUUCAUCUUCAAGAAAACUAAGAGAUCUCUUCCCCUGAUAAAAAACAACUCCACGUUUGAUGGGACUCAGACCUGGGCUCUUCUGUCACCUCUAGGUAGGGAGGUAUUGGAGAGCAAGUUUAGGAGUCACCCUACCAAGUGGGUAUGAUGAUGAAGGUGAGCUGCUAAGAAAGAGGUUGAGAGACAGCUGAUGUUUGUUUCAAGCCAAUCUUCUUCAACCCCAGGCACCAGGAGCAGAGGGCCAGUGGAUAAAGAUUAAGUAGGAUGGAAUCUGCAAUAAAGCCAAAUGUGUGGGUUGUAUUGCUGAUCUU
rnacentral:lncRNA from 1 species